rnacentral:rRNA from 1 species
GACGAACGCUGGCGGCGUGCUUAACACAUGCAAGUGGAGCGACGAACCAGGGCUUGCCCUGGGGCAGAGCCGCGAACGGGUGAGUAACACGUGGGUUACCUGCCCCGAUGACCGGGACAACCCGAGGAAACUCGGGCUAAUACCGGAUGUGGUCUUCGGACGAAAGGAAGCUUCGGCCUCCGCAUCGGGAUGGGCCCGCGGCGCAUUAGCUUGUUGGUGGGGUAACGGCCUACCAAGGCGACGAUGCGUAGCCGGCCUGAGAGGGCGACCGGCCACACUGGGACUGAGACACGGCCCAGGCUCCUACGGGAGGCAGCAGUGGGGAAUUGUUCGCAAUGGGCGAAAGCCUGACGACGCAACGCCGCGUGGAGGAUGAAGAAUUUCGGUUCGUAAACUCCUUUCGACCGAGAUGAAUAUCCGCCGACUUAACACGUCGGCGGACUGACAGUAUCGAGAGAAGAAGCCCCGGCUAACUCUGUGCCAGCAGCCGCAGUAAC